AGAGGACAAUUUGUCAGGCUAUAUAAUGGCCGCAUAUGUCGACAACACCGACUCCCAACAUGAAGACUGCCUGCCUCGUGCUGUUUGCCGCGUUGUACCUGGGAACCGCCCUCGUGGCCGAUGUAGACGCAUACGGAGGAUGCUGCGGCGCCACAUGUUUUGUGCACGGACAAUGUGGCUGCUGCAGUUGUCCAUACAACAGGCCUGCAAUCUGUGACCGUUACCAUGGGUGGCCAUACAGAUGCACCUGCCAUAGACAUCGUGGGUGAUGUUGGGACACUGGCCUACCAACUUUAGAGCAACUUCUGAUGGCUUUUUGUAACAUGUGAACAUGCCUUUGUCCAAAUAAACGAUCUUAAUCAGAA